UUUAUCUUUGGAACUAGAAAUCUCAGACUGUCAAAAUGACUCAAGGUGUUUAGUACAAAGUCUCAAGUUAUGUUCCCCCAUUGUUUAGGUAUGGAACUCAGCUUGAUGUUUAUUAGGCUACCACAUAUUAUAUGUGAUAUUGUUUCUU